UACAGAGGUCCCAAGCGUUGUUCGGAUUCACUGGGCGUAAAGGGUGCGUAGGUGGUGGGGUAAGUUUGAUGUGAAAUCUCCGAGCUUAACUCGGAAAUGGCAUUGAACUACUACUCUGCUAGAUGGAUUGGAGGGGAGACUGGAAUUCUGGUGUAGCAGUGAAAAUGCGUAGAUAUCAAAGAGGAACACCAGUGGCGAAAGCGAGUCUCUGGACAUUCCUGACACUGAGGCAACGAAAAGCUAGGGGAGCAAACAGG
rnacentral:rRNA from 1 species